AACGAACGCUGGCGGCAUGCCUAACACAUGCGAGUCGAACGAGACCUUCGGGUCUAGUGGCGCACGGGUGCGUAACGCGUGGGAACCUGCCCUUAGGUUCGGAAUAACUCCCCGAAAGGGGUGCUAAUACCGGAUAAUGUCUUCGGACCAAAGAUUUAUCGCCUUUGGAUGGGCCCGCGUUGGAAUAGCUAGUUGGUAGGGUAAAAGCCUACCAAGGCGACGAUCCAUAGCUGGUCUGAGAGGAUGAUCAGCCACACUGGGACUGAGACACGGCCCAGACUCCUACGGGAGGCAGCAGUGGGGAAUAUUGGACAAUGGGCGAAAGCCUGAUCCAGCAAUGCCGCGUGAGUGAUGAAGGCCUUAGGGUUGUAAAGCUCUUUUACCCGGGAUGAUAAUGACAGUACCGGGAGAAUAAGCGCCGGCUAACUCCGUG
rnacentral:rRNA from 1 species